UCAUUUUCUCAUUUGAAAGUCCUAUAUAUCAUAAACAUUAAGAGAAAACUUUACCAAAUAAUUUUGAUCAACCAAUUAUCCAAGAGAAACUAGGUUUGCAACUGAUUUUGGAAUAUAAUUAAAAGGUAUUAGGAAGAAACAAGAUCUUCUUCGAUUCAUCUAUUAAGCAAACAAUUCCAACACCUUUGAUGGAUGUUUUCUUCCAGUAGCAGUAAUGAUAGAAUGGCU
rnacentral:lncRNA from 1 species